rnacentral:rRNA from 1 species
AUUGAACGCUGUCGGCAGGCCUAACACAUGCAAGUCGAGCGGAGCGGCGGACGGGUGAUUAAUGCCUGGGACUCUGCCUGUUAGUGGGGGAUAACGUCCGGACACGGGCGCUAAUACCGCAUACUAUCAGCUUAGCCUAGGUCGGGUUAGAGAUUGGGUGGGGUAAAGGCCUACCAAGGCGACGAUCCGUAACUGGUCUGAGAGGAUGAUCAGUCACACUGGAACGGAGACACGGUCCAGACUCGGACGGGAGGCAGCAGGGGGGAAUAUGGGACAAGGGGAGCAAGCCUGAUUCAGCCAGGCCGAGUGUGUGAAGAAGGUCUUCGGAUGGUAAAGCACGGUAAGUUGGGAGGCGGUACCAGCAGAAGAAGCACGGGCUAACUUCGUGCCAGCAGCCGCGGUAAUUC